rnacentral:misc_RNA from 1 species
UGUUUAGCAGUUUUAUUUUCUGAUAAGAAGUCUUUUACAAAAUAUUAUUUAUACAUUAUUAAUUUUUUAUACAAUGUCAGAUCCAAAGCUAACUGUGCUUCCCCUGAUCCCAAAAGGAGUUGAAGGCAAGUCAUGGAGAACUCUCGACUCCACUCCUGUAUUGCAAGAAACACUUCGAGACUUUCUAGAAGAGGACAUUACAAGGUGUCGUAUGAAAGAAAGGGAAAAGAUCGUAAAAGAAUACAUACCUGCGCUCCAGCAAAUUGGCGAAGUCGAAAACCAGAUGCUUGCAGUUCAAGCAGUGAAUGCAAGAACUCUGGAGCGGCAUGAUGAUAAGGAACUAAAGUUACAAUGCCCAACCUUGCCAAAGUCAAUCAAUCUCGUAAAUCUUCCAAAAGUCGGAAGAGCUAAGUACAAUUUGCUGACAACCGCUGAAAUUCAAGAAACGAUCUGUAAUGAAUUAGGAGAUCCAUCUAGAUGGGCACUAAAAGAUUUUCCUAGUUUCUCUAAAAACGAACUGCUUGGUACUUAUGAAAGAAAAAAACAAUUGGAACCAUGCUCUGAAGGUUUCAAGAAAAGAGCGAAGGCUAAAAAAUACAAAGCAAACCCGGUUUUUGAAUUUUCACCCAAAGAGAUUCAUUUCACAGAGCAUCAGAUUGGAGGGCGAUAUAUUAAAAAACUAAAUAUAAUGAACCGCUCAGCAAGAUCGGUCAAAUUUUAUGUGACACUAUCUGACUCUUCCAAAGUGUUUGAUGUACAAUAUGAAAAUAUGGAUGCUAUGGUUAUGCUUGCAUCAGGACAGUAUGUUUCAGUCCGGAUAUUGUUUCGCUGUUUAGAUUUAGACGACUAUUACAAUUCUAUCCAAAUUGAAACAGUCAGAGAAGGAGUAGCAGUUUCAAAUGAGAGAAUUUACAUUCCAGUGACUGCAAUACGAUUACCACCUGCACUUAUAACUGAAGAAUUGCUCGCAAAAAAAUCUCUCAACAAAUCAGUGAGGAUUUCACAAAGUUUUACUCUUGACUGUGGAACUAGAUUGAUAGGAAGUACAUAUAACAUAAAAACUUCCCUUUAUAAUAUCGGAAGUUGUGGUACCUUUUUCAUUUCUUCUGAAUACACCUGGGAAUUUACUAAUGUGCAGGAUAUGAAUCAGAACAAUGAAAUUAUACUUAAUGCUUACGAAGUGUUUCCAGCAUUUUUUUGCCUCCGACAAUUUGAAAAAAUUGCAGUCAGCGUUACAUACAAGCCAAUGUGUGAAGGAUUACAUGUUGAAAAAUUAUUCAUCGUCUGUGAUAAUUUAACUUUAAGAGUAAUUGAUAUGAUAGGAGAGGCUGUCCUUUUUGCUCCGAAUGACUUCUGCAUCAAGGCAUCACCGAAAGAUUUUGACAUCGAUGAGAGUGACUUAUAUGAAGCAUCAAUGUAUAUUAAUUUUGGAACAGUGUAUCCUGGAGGUUCGUCCGAUGGCCACUGCAAAAUAUUCUCCGAGAGCUUGGUUGAUAUUGAGUUCGGUUGGAAUAUAAUUCCAUUAUCAUCUGAAACGGGCGUCAAUACAAUAGAAUCAAAAAAUAUUACGAUUUCUCCUUGCCAAGGAAUUUUAUGCUGUGAUAAUUCACCAGUGAUUGUAUACUUUCAAGUCUGUAUGAACAAUUGCAAACCUGGCCUUUAUAAAUCUGGUUUAACAUUAAUGGCAUACAAUAUACCAAAAAUUUCAGUUGUAAACAAAACAGUUUUGACUUUUCCAAAUGAUUCAAAUCCGAUGCUGUGGACCAAUGUUGAAAUAUGCUAUUUGGAACUAUCCGUGACGGUCAAAAAUCCGUACAUCGUCAUAGACCCAAUCCAUGUCGAUUAUACAGAUUAUAUAUACAAGACUAACUUUUAUUACCUGACAGUAACGAAUAACAGUGCAUACCCUGUCAAUGUAUCUUGGUAUGUUCCACAAUCAAACUCUGUAAUAAUGCACAUAACACCUAAAGAAGCCGAAUUGGAAAUUCAUGCUAUAACACAAUUUACAUUGGAAAUUACUGGUAUUGAAAGUUCACCAAUAGAAGAGGUUCUCCAGUGUUUUGUAGCUCAGGGUAAAAAGACUUUCAAAUGUGUUGUUCAUGGAAAUGUUUUAACAAAAUCAGUAAACUGUCCAUAUUUGGCAUACAGUUACGGAGGGGUUCAGAAUGAAACUGUGAAGUCUUUUCCAAUUUGGUUGAAAGCGGAAAACACCAAUUUGUCAAGUAUGGUGGAUGGUACUGAAAUCACAUCAGUUCUGACAAAAGAAGAAGAUUUGAUAUUUUUGGAAAGUUUUAAGAAUAAUAUUGAAAGUCUUCCUUCACCGAUAGAUGAAAAAGGCCAACAAUUCAAAUAUAACAUGAACACAGAAGAGAAAGGUUUAAAAUCAAGCAUCAUCGAAUGGAGAUAUGGAGACUUUCCAGUCUAUACAGACAUAUUCUAUUUUGUACAAAGCGUGUACGUUGAACUUACCCCUCUUCACUACAUAAUGCCCAGUAGCGUUUAUGUAUACGUCCCACAUGAAAUAACAGUCCAGUUAAGGAACUACAGCUUUUUAGAGGCCUCAUACACUUGGGGUGCAAUGAUAGGUGACGACCUGAAAAACGUUUCACUCAUGGCUGAUAAGUGGAGUGGUAAAAUUUCAGGCCAUUCAGUUGAGAAUAUUCAAUUCAAGCUUAGGUUCGAGACAGCAGGAACAGUGCAUUUUCAAGUACCGUGUACAAUAAAAUUCAUGAAAAAAGCAUUGGUCCUAAAAGUGACAGGUGAAAUUAAAAGUCUGAAUGUUGAAUACUCGUGGAUGUCAAAAGAAGAAAAAGUGAUCAUCCCUUGGCCUUACAUACCUACUAAGCAUGAUGUGUCCAAAGAUACUGGCCCGACAGACCCUAGUUGUUGUGUUUGCAUGACCGGAGCAAAUUUCAAUAACAUGAAGGUUCCUUACGAUCCAAAAGACAUCGCUGAGGAGAAUACACUUAAAUACGUUGACUCCACGACAUCCAGUGUUCCUUAUCUGAAUUGGCCACUAAUUGGUGGAAGAUAUUAUUACGAUAGCUUCAAAAAGAUGGAGCUAUUAGUAGAUUUUAAAUUUCCUUGGACUUUUGAAGAUUUUCUGGCAAGAAUUACUGAUUUUCCUACAACCGAUGAGAAGCAAUUAAUUCUGAAUACCUUCUCUUCCAAAGCGAUAGUCAUCCAUUUAAAAACCUUUGAGGUAAAGACAGCGGUCAUUUCAAUAUCAAAUUUAACCCCUAUCAAAGCUGAGUACUAUUCUGAAGUGAAGGAGUUUUAUGAGAGACAGCCUUUAAAACAUGAAUACACGAUUAUUGAAGGCGUAAAGCACAUUUCUAAAGACUCAAUUGAAAAAGUAUUGAAAAACAGUCACAUAUUGAAAAAAAAUCCAGUAAAAGAAAUGCUGUUGGAUAAGAUUCAAAACAAAGCAGGCUUAGUAUUGGGUUUAUCAAAUUCUAAAGGCAGAUUGGGCGGAUACAGUCAGGUUGACGUUGAACUGACUGCAUUCAGCAAUUGUUGGGGGAUUUAUUUGGACCAUAUAAAAGUAGAUAUAACAGACCUGGAUCCAAUUCAUAUUCCAGUGCUAAUCAAUUCCUCAGGAAAACCAGCUUGGUUUAUGUUCGCCCCUUAUUGCGAUGAACCAUUGCUAAGGUUCGGUGCCUUGUCACCAUUUGAGAAAAAAGAAUUGACAGUUAUGGUUUAUAACAAUUCUUUUCUCCAUUUAAAAAUCGCUUGGUCAGCAUAUACUGAAAUUCCGUUGAGCGAAUUCGAGUCCAACUUCUGCUUGCCAGAUGAACCAGGCCCUUUCAGUCUCAACAUUGAAUUUCAUCCAUCAAAGGAAGAAUCAUUUUGCAGAGUUAAUCUCAUCGAUUAUCUCGGUGAAAUUGAUAAGACCUAUUAUAAAUGUUCCCCUUAUGUAACAUACCUGAAGCCGAAGAGCAAAGCGCCUUUGAAAAUAACAGUCAAUACAACAAGUUGCUGGUUUGACAUAAACAAUUUAGAAAAAGUAUUGCGAGGAGGGAUUUGUGGCGUGAUUUAUAUUGAUUGCGAAAAAGAAAAAUGUUUUAUAGGACAGAUGAUUUGGGAUUCAGCUGUUACAGACCUGAUGGUUUUGAAAUAGACACUUUGUUAUUGAGGCUAGAGGCCAAAGUCACAAUGCCUCUCCUGCAAUUUGUUAAUCCGGAUAAGGAUAGUUUUAUGUUUUUUAUACCAUCCUACAAGAUUGCCCGCGAGCAGAAAAGCUACACUCGGAUCAAAAAAUACCUUCUUCAGAACACUGGUAGCAACACAUGUUUGUGCAAUUUCUCUAUUACUGGUUUGAUGACAAUGAAACAGCUUAGGCUGUACAGUGAAAAAGAUGGCUUUGAAGAAAUUUACACAGAUCUGAGUCCAACAAUUUUUAUAAGGUCCGGUUACUUCGUCGAGUUAUCCCUCCUGUUAGAAAUAACAAAAAGACAAAUGUACACGUACAUGGAUAGAGGAAAAUUAGACAGUAACGUUGCCAUAAGUAAAUCUAGCAGAAAAAAUAAAUCAGUGCAAGACAAUUUGGUUGAUACAUGCAUUGUGAUAAAACAAGGAAAC